AUUAAUUAUUAUAAUCUCAAGUUUGAAUUAAUAGAAUUAUUUAAUAUUUUAAAAAAAUUUAAAAUUUAAAUUUGGCACCCCCUUAAUUUUAGUUCUGCUUCCGCCACUGCUUAGAACAACACUGGCUAGUUGUGAUAACUCAUUUCAGAGGGUAUCUAAGGCACCUUUGCCAGUUGACAAAGAAGUGAAGAAGGUUCUAUUGCUGUUUAUUUUGUUACUUGCCUAUCUAUUUUCUUUUGACAUUUUCCUUUCCUUCUUUCUGGGUGUGUGUGAGUGUUUUUUUUUUUUUUCUUUUGGUAAUAAAUCCUCUUUUCCCCCCAAUAUCUUAGUUUAUUGAACUUGUAGCAUGGAGUCAUUAUAUGCAGGUUAUUGGAUAUGUUGAGAAAGUAUCUACCAUCAGUAAUUGUAGGUUUAUAUCAGCUACCAGUGGCAUCUUUGCUGCAAAUAUUUCUGGUACUUUCACAAGGUAUUUUCCUUGUAUAUACCUUCAUCAAGAAAAAUGAACUUCAUGGUUUAAGAUUUUCACUUUCAGACUUAGCAUGGUGGUUGUUUGUGUCCUGGUAAUUCAUUUUUCGAAUUUUGAUUGUAUAGAGAAACAUAAAGAAAGUGAAAGUCUGAAUGUCCUUUUCCUUUGGAAUGUGUCACAUUAAUACUGAACAUAAGAAGCCAGUAGCCAUGAACAGAAGCGGGAUAGAAAAUGUGAUUCAGUGGAGGAAAUACGAUUGUGACAAGUUACCUAAAGUGCAGUAAGAGGUGUAAGCUUGGACCUGGUAGUUUGGAUUUCGGUUCAGCACAUUAAUUAACUUCCAAAAUAUCCAUGCGCAAUUUAUUGCCUCUGUUAAGUAUUUUUGUUUUUUGGUUCAUUACUGAAGAAAGAAAAAAAAAACCUUAAAUUGGCAGAGUUGAUAGUGAUAAAUAACUAACAAUUUAGUGGGGGUUGUACCAUAUGACUUGCUUAGACCUGCAUAGUUCUUGCGAUGUGUCUUGCAAUCAAGUAAUGGUGUGGGAGGUUAACUAGGGUUAUGCAUCACAGAAAAAGUCCUAUGUUGUUGAGGUGCUAAUGUGUGUCUAGAACCAAUUGCAGGUUAGCAACUCACAUGCGUGAAGUGGGGAUAGCUUGAAUUUGCCAGUCAAUUAUUAUGGUGAAUUCAUUUUCAGGCUGGCAAUGAUGUGUUAAAUCUAAACAUACUUUUGGCUAUCACUGAUAAUGAUGUGCCUCAAGUCUUGAUAAUUAUGAAACCAGGGGGAAUUAGAGCAUAGGAUUGGAUUCAGAACUAUGAAUGUAGAAGGAAGAGAUUCUAUUUCUUUGGUUUGCAUGUAAUAUCCUGCUCCAUAUAAGAAAAUCCAGGAACUCAACUUUUGGAACAUCUUAUAGGUGUUGUUUACUUUCUUUAUGCUCUACUGCUAUUUUUAUGCCAUAGCAUUUUCUCCUCCUUCAUACUGGACUCAACUUACUCAUGGACGUAAGAAUUUGUCUAUGUUAAGUAUUUUCAGAAGGCUUUUACGAAGAGUAAUUAACCUUAGCAUCCUUGGCUUCGUAAAGGAUUUUUUCUGGAUUCACCUAUACUGGGGUUGCUCAGGUAUUCAAUUCAUACUAGAAGUGGAAACAAAGGAACAACUCAAUGCUAUUCUCUAUUCUUGGUAGUGGGAAGCCAAUUUGGAUUUAGUGCCCGUAAGUCAAUGUGUUAGUAGGAGAGUUUUGUAAAUGCUAGGAUCUGAACAACUUGUUUAAUAAAACUACCCUAAGAAAGAAUUUCCUUUAUUCAGUAGGAAACAUGUAAAAAUACUUAAAGCACAGUUUGUUUCCAAUUUUUAGUUGUGAUGUUAUGAAAAAGCAAUAAGAUAUGUGAUCACUGUAAUAGUUUUGAUGCAUAGUUUUCUCUUAAUUGAGAGUUGACUUUAUAUUUUGAAUAUUGAUCAUAUGCCGGUGUUGACAAGAAAGGUCUAUCUCAGUGGUCAUCUCCUCUAUAGCAAAUAUGUUACUCCAAGUAUGUAAUUAGCUUAUGUUGUAUGAAUAAAGGUGACUUUUGUAUUUCAAUGGGUUAGAAUACUUGUAACAUGAAAUGGACAGAGUUCUUGCCUUGUGGAAUGGCUAUUCAAUAAUUACUCACACUAUCAUGUGGCGUCAUUAUAGAAGCUAGUAUAUUACGUUGCUCAAUUGUUCCUCUUCAACAUUUUAAACCAUAAAUAUGCUUUUUUUUUUUUUCAGUAACUUAUAUAUGCAUCCUAAGCAUAGUAGUUUAUGAAUAUUUUCAUGUUUUAGCCAUUUCUUUUUGAGAGGGAUAAUAGUGGCCUGCUGAUAUAAUCAGGAGGUGAUACUUAUAAAUUGAUUAAUCUGCUGGGUAAUAGUGUUUUUAGAAAUAACAUUCAUUUUGUUUUGUCUUUUUUGUUCUUUGUUCCAACGCAAGAGAUACUUAUCAUUUUUUAGAAAUAUCCUCUUGACCAGCAUGUCAUGGUUGAUGUGGAAGUGGAGAGGCUAGUAAAUGAAGAGAAUGAUUUAAAAUCGGUUCUUGAAGUCCCUUUGGAUGAUGUUUCUGAUUUCUUAUAUGCACAUUUCAUUAAUUUAGAUGGAGAAUCUACAAUAGAAGAGAAAGGUUGCAGUUAUUUGUAAGGCAUCUAUAGACUGCAUAUCUGAUGAAGAAGCUGAAAAUUUUCUGUCUUACAUGCAAGAAAAUGAGAAUUCUGUUACAUUGACUACCAUUUACCAGUUAAAGGGCUUAGAAUGGGUCAUAGUAUUUAUUCAUUGUGAAGCCCACCAUGAUAGGCUGUCAAUGGACACGUGAUGGACAUUUGUUGUUCAUGGGUCCGUUGGACUGUUAAUGAGCCUUCUUAGAAUUCUGUUGGUGAAGUCACAUUUAGCUUUUGAAAUCAGUGGCCAUGCAGCUCUGAAGGAGAACCAUUGGCUUGAUGAUGGAGCCUACAUUAUGCUAUGAUAUUUUAAAAUGUCAUUAGCUUCAUCAUUAGGUUCAUGAGAGCUUCAGGUUUGGGUUGUGGCCAUAAAGUUUUGACUGAUACGGUUGACGGAUUGGAUGAAGCUGAAGUGGAAGUGGAAUUGAGGUUGAAGAUUGAUCAGAACCGUGUUCAUCUCAAAGGAGCGUAAGCUUGAUGGUUGUUUGCCAUAGCCUUCCUCUGGCCCUCCUGUUCUCACAGUGCACAAGUUCACCAUGCUCCAUUUUCACAUGAUAACAAUUAGUUUGAUUUGACUAUUGUGAGCGAUGCAAUGCUGACUAUACGAUGUUACUGUGAAAUGAAAUUAAGUUACUUGAGAAUAGAUUUUAUCCUAGAAAUUUAAACGCUUCAGAUCUUUUUGGGACUAUGGAGAGGCAGUACUGAUACACACUUAAUUAGAGAACAGGAAUACUUCAGAUUUGAAAUUGAAUAAGGCACCUGUCAACUAUGAAGGGGGCAUGUUAGAGUGUCGGAACGUGGUGGCCGGUUCCUGCUAAGGCUUUCUUUGCAUGAUCCUGUUCUCCACUGAACGUUGAGGUUGCUUGCACCAAAGGGAUUGCCCGCUCUGGCCCGCAAUUCCACGCCUAUGAUUUUGAGCCCUUCCCUUCACAUUGGGAGUUGCAACUAUUUCGUUUUGCAUUUUAAACAGAGGCGGUAUUGUGAUUGUACUUGAAUGUGUUUUUCCAGAUUUCCCUGAUGACCAGGGAUGGAGAUUCGUUCCCCAGUGAAAUAGGCAAGAAAUGGUUAAUCAAA